AUUUUGGAAUAAGGCUGUAAAAUGUGGGAAAAGUGAAGCGCUGUGAAUACUUUCCGGAUGCACUGUAUCAAGGAAUUCUCCCUAAAAGGGAAAAACAUUUGUGUAACCAUUUCUAGUUUUGCAAUGACACUUGAUUUUGUUGAUUUUCUAGAUAAAUUUAGCUAAUCAGGACAUUCUUGGGGUUGGUGUUGACCAUGUGACAACUUUUUGUUAACAAAAGUGUAAAACACUGUGGCACUAUCAAAAACAUUGCUCUUUUUUGAGCAUUCCAACCCACCCAACUCAUCAUCAUUAGCUCAACCAAUGUUGUGAGUUUGGGACGGGACUAUCUGUUUUUCGACCAAUGGCAGUUGGGGGAGUGUCUGGGAAAACUGAUUGAAAACAGUUUUUAUUCCUUUCGGUGACACUAGCGGUGCAGAAAUCAGUCCCAAAUUGCAGCCCCAAAUUACUGAAUUUGCUGAGGCUUUUCUGAAAGCUGAAAAAAAAAAAAUACUGUUAAAAUACUUUCUCCUAUCCCAGUUUAAUAUAGAGAGACUACUAUAAGUAAGCCAUUCAUAGGUUAAUUUUCUCGAAAACUGUAAGCACUGUCUUUCUGUGGUGCUUUGAAAAUGUAUCUGUUUUGAUUGACCCGCUUAGACCCGCUAUCUCUUUGUUUGACCAACGGUAGACAGGGGGCGUAUUCACAAAACUUUUCUGAAAACAAUGUUUAUUUUUGAAAUUGUUGCUAGUUGCGCACAAAUGACAUACUUGAGCUUUAAAAAUUGCAAUGUAAUUUUGUGCCAUUUUUUGUGUUAUGUGGUCUUGCGAAAGUUUAGACAAGGAUUUUGAAAGUAAACGCAAUAGGAUCCCCCUUGAGCGUCAAUAUGGGACAAUAGGCAUUCCUUUUGGGACGUCGUAAUUUUGGCCGAAAUAUGGGACGUCCCAGCUAAAAUGGGACAGUUGCCAACCCUGUGGAGAUGAUAGAAAUGGCAGCUGUGCAGUUGGAGAUGUCUUGACUGCGUCAAGCUUUUCAAGCGUUUGCUUUGCCGCUGUCACACAUUGAGUUAUCUGAUUACCUUAGAUUCAUGGUUUAUGUGGAAAAAUUGCAGAAAUUAUCAACAUUGCAAGCUGCUGCAAAUAAUGCGGAGAGUUGUUGAAUUUGCAUUCAUUCUUGCGAUUCUGAGAAACGACACACUUCAAUCUGAUUUGUCCGUAUUUAUUUAUGUAUUUUUCUGUAUUCAGAGGCAAAACAAAAUGUAUGAUGUCUUCAGGCUGCAUCAUAAAACAUCCUGGCAUACACAGCACUGGAAUGGGCAUGGUGGGGGCCAUAUGUGAUUUCUGUGAAGCCUGGUGUGCCAUGGGAGGAAAUGCUUGAGUACUCAUGCCUGCUUGUACCCCCUCUGUGAUGUAGACUGCAUUGAAUGCGACCGCAAUGUUUGGGAAAACCAAAGGCCUCAGUCAUGUCUAUGAUCCCUCCAUUCAACUACUAGUUUUGGAUUUGAAUGAAGCAGUCAGGUAUCUGGUUCAUCCGAGUAUCUUUUCCUUGAUGUUCUUGCAUUUCAAACACAUAAAUUCGGUCGCCAGAGUGGCACAGAUGAAGAUGGAUAUGGUGCAUCUGCAUAUAGCAGCUAUUGGAAAAAUGUAGAAUAUGGAGGAGGAGACCAAGAGGAGGAUGACAUUGAUGAUAAUGAUGAGGAGGAGGAGGAAGACGAUGCUGGAGUUGAGGACUCACUCUCAAACCUGAACUUGGGAGCGAGCUGUGGAAAGACCCAGCAAAUAUAUAUAAAUUAUUUUAGAUGCUAUUCAGCGCAGAUAUUGUACCAGAUUAAAAAAUAAAUAAUUAAAUGAUGUUUUCUGCCCAGUCUCUUAAAUGUAGGUAGUAUUGGUGAGAACGUGUAGGUAAUAAAAAUUCAAUUUCUGGCAUUGUCAUCUUUUUGGAUUUCAGAUAUAUCUAAAGAAA